rnacentral:lncRNA from 1 species
UAAUCCCCAAGGAAGGGAAACAGGUUCUUAGUUAUGUUACAAAAACUAUUGAACCCAAGGCCAGCAUUAGUUUCCUGGAGACGCAUUUGGACUCAAAGCCUGCUCCAGUUGUUUCUGGAUCCUCAGCUAGAGGCCCCUCUCGAAGCUACCUGAGAGUGGCAAAGCCAGACAUAUUAGCACCAGGAGUGUUAAUUCUAGCCGCCUGGCCAUCUAAUGCUAUGGCAGCGAAAAUUGGUGCCAAUAUAGAAUUGGCAACUGAUUACCUUCUUGAAUCAGGCACAUCCAUGGCUUCUCCUCACAUUGCUGGAAUAGCUGCAAUGGUUAAAGGUGCACAUCCUGAUUGGAGUCCUUCAGCUAUUCGUUCCGCCAUGAUGACCACUGCCAACCCUUUGGAUAAUACUCAAAAACCCAUAAGAAAUUCCGAGGAUAACAAACCUGCUACACCACUAGACAUGGGAGCUGGGCAUGUUGAUCCUAACCGGGCUCUUGAUCCAGGCCUCAUAUAUGAUACAACUCCGGAAGAUAAUGUUAAUCUUCUUUGUUCUUUGAAUUUCACAGAAGAGCAGUUCAAAACAAUUGCAAGAUCAUCAGCUAACCACAACUGCUCAAACCCAUCCUCGGAUAUCAAUUACCCAUCAUUUAUUGCAUUCUUUAGUCCAGAAGGGAACUUCACUUGGUUGGAGCAGAAAUUCAGGAGGACAGUGACAAAUGUUGGGAGUGCUGCAUCCACGUACAGAGUGAAAGUGAAAGCGCCAAGAAAUUCAACGGUUUCUGUGUCACCGCAAACAUUGGUUUUUAAGAAGAAAAAUCAGAGGCUGAGCUCCAGUUUGACCAUUCGGUAUAGAGAUGAUGCAGAACAAAAAGUCCAAUCUGGUUCAAUCACCUGGGUGGAAGAUAACGGAAAUCCUGCUCCAGUUGUUUCUGGAUCCUCAGCUAGAGGCCCCUCUCGAAGCUACCUGAGAGUGGCAAAGCCAGACAUAUUAGCACCAGGAGUGUUAAUUCUAGCCGCCUGGCCAUCUAAUGCUAUGGCAGCGAAAAUUGGUGCCAAUAUAGAAUUGGCAACUGAUUACCUUCUUGAAUCAGGCACAUCCAUGGCUUCUCCUCACAUUGCUGGAAUAGCUGCAAUGGUUAAAGGUGCACAUCCUGAUUGGAGUCCUUCAGCUAUUCGUUCCGCCAUGAUGACCACUGCCAACCCUUUGGAUAAUACUCAAAAACCCAUAAGAAAUUCCGAGGAUAACAAACCUGCUACACCACUAGACAUGGGAGCUGGGCAUGUUGAUCCUAACCGGGCUCUUGAUCCAGGCCUCAUAUAUGAUACAACUCCGGAAGAUAAUGUUAAUCUUCUUUGUUCUUUGAAUUUCACAGAAGAGCAGUUCAAAACAAUUGCAA